AUACGUAGGGUGCGAGCGUUGUCCGGAAUUACUGGGCGUAAAGAGCUCGUAGGUGGUUUGUCGCGUCGUCUGUGAAAUUCCGGGGCUUAACUCCGGGCGUGCAGGCGAUACGGGCAUAACUUGAGUACUGUAGGGGAGACUGGAAUUCCUGGUGUAGCGGUGAAAUGCGCAGAUAUCAGGAGGAACACCGGUGGCGAAGGCGGGUCUCUGGGCAGUAACUGACGCUGAGGAGCGAAAGCAUGGGUAGCGAACAGGAUUAGAUCCCCUGGUAGUCCAUGCCGUAAACGGUGGGCGCUAGGUGUAGGGGUCCUCCACGACUUCUGUGCCGUAGCUAACGCAUUAAGCGCCCCGCCUGGGGAGUACGGCCGCAAGGCUAAAACUCAAAGGAAUUGACGGGG
rnacentral:rRNA from 1 species